GACGAACGCUGGCGGCGUGCUUAACACAUGCAAGUCGAACGGAAAGGCCCUGCUUGCAGGGUGCUCGAGUGGCGAACGGGUGAGUAACACGUGGGUGAUCUGCCCCUUACUUUUGGAUGAGCCUGGGAAACUGGGUCUAAUACUGGAUAGGACAUUGCUGUAGGUGGUGUGGUGGAAAGAUUAUUGUCGGUUAGGGAUGAGCUUGCGCCCUAUAAGCUUGUAGGUGGGGGAAGGGCCUACCAAGGCGUCGACGGGUAGCCGGCCUGAGAGGGUGGACGGCACGGUCCAGACUGCGACGCGGGCCAGCAUCCUGCGAUAGGCAGCAGUGGGGGAAAGUGUGCAACAGCCACAAGCCGGAGGUGGAGACGGCGCGGGGGUGAUGAAGCCCUUCUGGUUGUAAACUACAUCAGGACAUGAAGAAGCCCCUGUGCUGACGGUAGUCAUAGAAGAAGCACCGGCUAACUACGUG
rnacentral:rRNA from 1 species